AUGGGAGGCUGCACUCCGCCUCUUCCUCGUGGUGCGGCGGACGGCGGCUCUUACGGUCGUGCGGCCGAUGGCAGCCUCAGCGGGUGGUCGACGACACUUGCAGCUGGUGCUCUACCCAUGGAUUCCGGCACAGCUCGAAAUGCUCAGGCCUCGGCCAAUGGUGGAGAAGACAGAGUACAGGGACAAGCCGCUGGAGCACGUGUUCAUGGGAUGUUCGUGCGCAAGAUGCAGAAGUUCGCCGGAAGGAAGAAGAGCGGGCCGGGGAGGAUGAGGAGAAGGCGGGAUGCGAGGUGCUUGCACGCGCAGCAGCAGGAGGUCGUCUGUGAGGUGCUCCUCUGGAUGCUCCCUUCCGGCGCUGGGCCUAGGUGUUCAACGCCGCCCUCACCAUCCCCUUCUUCCAUUGGCUCAUCGGCCCGUCAGAGGUUAUUGAGGUGGAGGUCAACGGUGUGA
rnacentral:rRNA from 1 species